AUCCUUCGGUUCAUGAGAAUGAUGAUUGGUGCGUUCACGACCUCUUCGUGAUAGGUGCUGCCUUCACUUGUUACGCUGAGCGCCUCAGCCUUUCUGAUC
rnacentral:snoRNA from 1 species